rnacentral:tRNA from 1 species
AAGGGAGACCUAAUUCAGGUAGGAGACGAAAAAAAAGUAGUCGCUACCAAGAAUCAAUCCCAAAAGGUCGGAGCGAGGCGAAAUUGGCUUUCAAACUAGGUUCUGGGUUCACACAAGACCUGAAUCAGGAACAGGGGCUAUUAGCUCAGGUGGUUAGAGCGCACCCCUGAUAAGGGUGAGGUCCCUGGUUCGAGUCCAGGAUGGCCCACCUGUACAGGUGGCAAAAAGAAAGAAAAGAAGCGAGGAAUCAGCACCUUAUCUUACUGACAUAGUAAGAGAGAAUGCUGGCUCUGAGUAAAGAGUCCAGAGGAACCUUGAAAACUGCAUAGAGCUAGGUGAAAAAGCCAAAAAAGAAGACCGCAA